UACAGGGGGGGCAAGCGUUGUUCGGAAUUACUGGGCGUAAAGGGCUCGUAGGCGGCCAACUAAGUCCGACGUGAAAUCCCAAGGCUUAACUUUGGAACUGCGUCGGAUACUGGAUGGCUUGAAUUCGGGAGAGGGAUGCAGAGUUCCAGGUGUAGCGGUGAAAUGCGCAGAUAUCAGGAGGAACACCGAUGGCGAAGGCAGGUCUCUGGGCAUUAACUGACGCUGAGGAGCGAAAGCAUGGGGAGCGAACAGG
rnacentral:rRNA from 1 species